AGCUUCUCUCUGACAGAUCACACAAACUCAACCUGAAGACAAAAUCAAAAAGAAACAGAUUUGUGUUGUCAUGCAAAGGUUCCAGUUUGUUCUACACCUCAGACAGGAUCAAUAAACCAGCAGUGUACACUGAGUCAAAUCUGAAAGUGUUUUUAUUCAGUCAAACAUGAUUAUUAACUGGACCAGCAGGAGACCUGGAUGAUGCCUGGUUAGACAGAAAACAUAUGAACUGUCUUUGAUUAAAGACAUCAACAGCAUUAAAGACAACUUUAAUCCUUCUCAGUGUACUUUGAUAUGACUGAUCAAUACUUUCAUUGAUUUAACAUUAGGAGCUAAUGUUUGCUGAAUAUUUGGACAUGUGGACAGAAAGAAAGGUCUCUGUCCAUACAUAUGACAUAUUAUAGGUGGUCACUCCCACAUACACACACCUGACUUUUAUACAUCAGAUAUAUUUAUCUGUUAACAGUAAUGUGUUAUUGAAUAAAGUCAGAUAAACUUUAUUGAUCCCUGAAGGGAAAUUAAUCCUCUGUAUUUAACCUGUUCUAAUCAUAUUAGACACAUUAGAGUAACAUGCAGCUGCAAAGCAGUACCCAAGAACCAAACCCCAACCUCCACCCACAGGAAAUUAAGCAAACCCGGAAGUUGAAAAUUUUGCCUUGAUUGGCCACUUGAGGCUGACUCCUAAAAGGAGUUACUUUCCACAGAGGCCCAUGUUUAAAUGUCCAACUUUAGAGCAGAAAUAAACAUGUUUACAGCCUGGGUAACUAUCUGUGUUUGGUGUCCACAGAUAGUUACCCCUCCACAACAAGUAUAAAGGGGUGAUUUUUUUUUUCUUUCCUUCUGUUUAUAAAUGCCUCAUCACUUUACCAUGUUUUAACCCACAGCAUUGUGAAUAAUUGUGAGGUGAUUUAAGAGCCAUGCUUGGAGAGGCUGCUACAUUUUGUGAUCAGACUGUCUCUCUCCUGUCUGAGUAUUUAAUUCCAAAUAUCUCAUAUAAAACAGCUUGUUGUGCAGAUCAUUCUCCUCGUGGACCAUUUGAGAAGUCUGUGCUCCAGUAUUUCCACUGAAUGGAAUUUUCAUGUUAUUUAAUUUGGUAUGUUUUCAACAUUAGCACUGUUUGCAGUUCAAUCUGAUAUUAAAAAUUGGUCCACAUUUUUGCUCCACAAAUGUUAUUUGUUGAGAUUUUAUCUUAAUAAAGACAUCAACACGAUUAUGUCACAGCAACUAAUGAUGAAUCAUUAUUUAGUUAUUUUGUUAUCUGGAAAGUUUCAUUCUGGUUCUUGAGUGAAGAUUUUUAAAGUUUCUUAAAGCUUCUUAAAGUUACAGUCUGUCCAUAAGUCAGCAAAAUGUUAAAUUUCAGAAGAAACCUGCUACACAAUGAGUGAAUGGUCCUUAUGAAUGGAUGGAUUUAGAAUUAAUUGUUGGCUUACUUUCACCACCUAGUGUUACCACUCUGUAUUUAUUGUUUUUUAUCUGAACACAAGCGCUUUGAUUUCUGUUUCAGAAAAAUUUCUUGUCCUGCUCUUUCUUGUUAAGUUCAUGUUUCAGGCUUCACAUCUGUUUGAAUAUUCAUGAGGGGACCAUUUGUGGUUGAAUGUGGGCGUGUUGAGGGCGGGACAUGAGGCAGAUCAACAUGCGCAUAAUUCAAAGUUGUGUGUGAAAUAAAGUCAAUU